AUUGAACGCUGGCGGAAUGCUUUACACAUGCAAGUCGAACGGUAGAGGGGGCAACCCCUCGAGAGUGGCGAACGGGUGAGUAAUAUAUCGGAACGUGCCCAGUCGUGGGGGAUAACGUAGCGAAAGUUACGCUAAUACCGCAUACGAUCUAAGGAUGAAAGCGGGGGAUCGCAAGACCUCGCGCGAUUGGAGCGGCCGAUAUCAGAUGAGGUAGUUGGUGGGGUAAAGGCUCACCAAGCCAACGAUCUGUAGCUGGUCUGAGAGGGCGACCAGCCACACUGGAACUGAGACACGGUCCAGACUCCUACGGGAGGCAGCAGUGGGGAAUUUUGGACAAUGGACGCAAGUCUGAUCCAGCCAUUCCGCGUGCAGGAUGAAGGCCCUCGGGUUGUAAACUGCUUUUGUACGGAACGAAAAGGUCUCUCUUAAUACGGGGGACUCAUGACGGUACCGUAAGAAUAAGCACCGGCUAACUACGUGCCAGCCGCCGCAGUAAAAC
rnacentral:rRNA from 1 species